GCCAGGUGUGGUGGCGGGCACCUGGAGUCCCAGCUACCCAGGAGGCUGAGGUGGGAGGAUCGCUUGAGCCCAGGAGGACUGGGCUGUAGUGAGCCAAGAUGGUGCCACUAUACUGUAGCCUGGGCGACAGAGGGAGACCCUGUCUCAA
ensembl:misc_RNA Metazoa_SRP Metazoan signal recognition particle RNA